rnacentral:rRNA from 1 species
CAGUCGCCACGGUAAUACAGAGGGUGCAAGCGUUAAUCGGAAUUACUGGGCGUAAAGCGCGCGUAGGUGGUUCGCCAAGUUGGAUGUGAAAUCCCCGGGCUCAACCUGGGAACUGCAUCCAAAACUGGCGAGCUAGAGUAUGGUAGAGGGUGGUGGAAUUUCCUGUGUAGCGGUGAAAUGCGUAGAUAUAGGAAGGAACAUCAGUGGCGAAGGCGACCACCUGGACUGAUACUGACACUGAGGUGCGAAAUCGUGGGGAGCAAACAGGAUUAGAUACCCGCGUAGUCCCUGUCUCUUAUAA